rnacentral:rRNA from 1 species
UACGGAGGGUGCAAGCGUUGUUCGGAAUUACUGGGCGUAAAGAGCGUGUAGGCGGCCCUGUAAGUCAGAUGUGAAAUCCCUUGGCUUAACCAAGGAAGUGCAUUUGAAACUGCAGGGCUUGAGUACGAGAGGGGGAAGCGGAAUUCCCGGUGUAGAGGUGAAAUUCGUAGAUAUCGGGAGGAACACCGGUGGCGAAGGCGGCUUCCUGGAUCGAUACUGACGCUGAGACGCGAAAGCGUGGGGAG